UCAUGACCUGAGCCGAAGUCGGCACUUAACCAGCGGAGCCACCCAGGCGCCCCAGUGCACGCACAGAAUUAACCUGCCCCAGAGCAUGGGUCACGAUUCAGCCCUGGGACGAUGAGGACAUGAGCUAAAUGCCACCAAAGUGGAGCCAAAGCCCCAUCGCAGCCCGCCCAACCCGAGCACUCAGCACGCAGUCGGGGAGCAGGCCGGACACCCACCGGAGGGAGCGCAGUCCUAGGCCAGCGUCCCUUGGAACCCACCCUCUUUCCCCAAACCUGCGGGCUUUCGGGGAGGCCUAGCUGAGCCCCACAGCUAGCCAGCCGGCAAGGACACGAGGCAGACCUGCCUAUUUGUUUAUGAGAAGGUCUUCCGUCUCUGGAUAUUCCAGAAAGACGGCGCUGAGCUCUCUUGUCUCGCUGAGAAGACAGAACGGCCCGGAGACCAGGAAGCAUCCUCAAGAAACUCUCUCUCUGAGGAAUUUCAAGGAGCCGGCUAGGUCUCUGUGGAGUACGCGGCAUUAUCUCAUUACCAUCUCGCCUGGUGAUCGGAUUCCGUUAGCUGACUCUCUUUAUUAGCAGGCAAAGGCAAACUUAUGAAAUACCUUUAAACUUGGAUUUCCUUAACAAUAUAUCAUUGGGGAACUGACAGCCCUCGUUCGCUUCCCUCUGCCAGAGAGAAUUAAGAUUGUUCCCAAUUUAAUCUCUUCUCCGCAUCGGAGGCGGGCAUUUGUGUUUCAGCCGAAAACUCGCGGUAGCGGCUCUGGGGGAGGAGGCUUUGGA